CGAACGAUCUGUAGCAAUACAGGGGAGUGGCGGACGGGUGAGGAACACGUAGGAAUCUACCUUGAAGAGCGGGACAACUUUGGGAAACCGGGGCUAAUACCGCAUAGUACAGAGAUGUUAAAGGGCUAGCAAUAGUCGCUUCGAGAUGAGCCUGCGGUCUAUCAGCUUGUUGGUGAGGUAAUGGCUCACCAAGGCUACGACGGAUAGCCGGUCUGAGAGGAUGAUCGGCCACACUGGCACUGAGACACGGGCCAGACUCCUACGGGAGGCAGCAGUUAAGAAUCUUGCGCAAUGGGGGAAACCCUGACGCAGCGACGCCGCGUGAAGGAUGAAGGCUUUCGGGUUGUAAACUUCGGUAGACUGGGAAGAAGAAAUACGUUCGUUGAGGGCGUAUAGUGACGGUACCAGUCUGAAGCCCCGGCUAAUUACGUG
rnacentral:rRNA from 1 species